rnacentral:rRNA from 1 species
ACAGCAGCCGCCGCGGUAAUACGAAGGGUGCAAGCGUUACUCGGAAUUACUGGGCGUAAAGCGUGCGUAGGUGGUGGUUUAAGUCCGUUGUGAAAGCCCUGGGCUCAACCUGGGAAUUGCAGUGGAUACUGGGUCACUAGAGUGUGGUAGAGGAUAGUGGAAUUUCCGGUGUAGCAGUGAAAUGCGUAGAGAUCGGAAGGAACAUCUGUGGCGAAGGCGACUAUCUGGGCCAACACUGACACUGAGGCACGAAAGCGUGGGGAGCAAACAGGAUUAGAUACCCGCGUAGUCCCUGUCUCUUAUAC